GGGUGCGAUCAUACCAGCACUAAUGCACCGGAUCCCACCAGAACUCCGCAGUUAAGUUAAUGGUGCUUGGGAGAGAGUAGUACUAGGAUGGGUGACCUCCUGGGAAGUACUCGUGUUGCACCCC